UAUAAACUAUGUCCGACGUUUGACCGUUCGUCUUAUUUGAAAAAUUUAUAAAAAAAAUUGGUCAUACAUAAAGUACUAUUCAUGUUUUACCAUCUAAUAACAAUAAAAAUACUAAUCAUAAAAAAAUUUUAAAUAAAACGAACGGUCAAAAAUUGAACAUGAACAGUGCAAAACUGCACUUAUU
rfam:Oryza glumipatula chromosome 1, whole genome shotgun sequence.